rnacentral:rRNA from 1 species
UACGUAGGUGACCAGCGUUGUCCGGAUUUACUGGGCGUAAAGAGCGUGUAGGCGGCCCGGUAAGUCCGCUGUAAAAGUCAAAGGCUCAACCUUUGAAUGUCAGUGGAUACUGCCGGGCUAGAGUCCGGAAGAGGCGAGUGGAACUCCUGGUGUAGCGGUGGAAUGCGCAGAUAUCAGGAAGAACACCAACGGCGAAGGCAGCUCGCUGGGACGGUACUGACGCUGAGACGCGAAAGCGUGGGGAGCGAACAGG